rnacentral:misc_RNA from 1 species
GGAGAAGUAAGAUAAAAAUAAGAGUCUUUUAUUGGAGCAAAUGCUUCAUGUGUACGCAUCCAUACCUGCUAAAAUUCAAAGAUCCAAUCGAACAUGGUGGGGCUGAAAGAUCAUGAUUUUUCCAGCUCAAAAGUUGACAAUAACAACCUUUUUCUUGAAAAUUAGUAUGGUAGUACCCCACCAAGGCCUAAAUGAUAACUAAUUAAUGAUCUCUGCCUCCCCGCAAUCGUUUGAUAGGGAAAAUUGUGUCAAAAAACAGCUUCACCAGUGCAAUUACUAAGGAAAAUGGUAAAUAGUGAUGCUCAUUUAUAAUGGGCAAGGUCCAUAACGUGCUUCAAAUUUUCCAAUGAACUCUUCAAACUAAGCUCCUUAAAAGCACGAAAAAAGCGUACUCUACGUAAAUCAAGCCUAUUCAACUUGAACUUCCUCAAUAAGGAGCAUGAUCCAAUUGCCAUACAGGUUAACAAGUGAACUUGGCUUCACUUUAUACGUCGGCUCAGCUUCUUCUUCGAGUGGGAUAAUUGUUACGCCUUGGCCGAAUGUUUUUGCUUUCAUUUCUACUCUCUUCUUGACUGCUGCUUCCACAGAUUCAUAUGUCAGCAUCUCCAUGAGUUUUCUACCAUCCACAAGAACUACAACACAAAAAGGAUGACAAUGAAGGUUUAUCAUCAAAUCAGAAAAUUAUAUAGCCCAGAUCAAUAAGGUUGAACUGGGAAACAACUUGCUUUCAAAUAGCAGCCUCAUACUCAGCCAGGGAUUCUAGGAAUUUAGCCUCAGCCACAAAUUUUCUGUAGUCGAUUCUCCUUGACAGUGCCUGCAAUAAGAAUCAAAGGAGAGAAACAAAUGCAGGGUUUUAGGGCUAACAAGUCUUGUUCAAAACAAGGGCAAUAAAGAAUAUCUUGAUGCUCAAUAUUUGGAUCAUUGACAAUUAAUUCCAUCGUAGCAAAGCAGCAGCUUAAGUACCUGGGCUGAAGAGGUUAGCUUAGCAAACCAUACUCAUAGUUCAUGGCAUACCAAUCCAUGCCAGCGUUCAGAGCAAAGACUUGGCCCUUAAAGAAAUGCAAUCAGCAUAUUUAAUUGAAUGGAAUAGAAGGAAUGGACAAGUCUCACUAGAUCUAAAGUAAAACUCCUUUAUCUUUUAAAAUAAAUUUGCAACAAGUAGAUAAUCAGUAGAUAUCAAUUUGAUCACAAAAAUAGUUUUGAACCAGCAUUAAACAGCAGCAAGUGAUAAAGAAGUAUUAAAUUUAAGCCAACUAAUGUAACUACUCACCGAAAUAGGUCAGAGGUGAUAUUAAGUUGAAAAUUUGCAGAUUACAGUACUCUCUUGAGAUUUAAUUCUUUCCAAUAGCAAGCAUAUGCAUGGGAAUUUAUUAACUUGCAGUUGUAAAAUGUUUGCCAUCAGAUAUAAUUAAGUCUAAUGGAAUUUGUUCUAACUGUUUAGUUGGGAUUGCUGCCUAAGAUCCUCACCUGCUGGCACUGCAAGAAUGGGAGCAUUGGUUUGGCAAGUAUUCUAGAAUAUAUGGAUGCUCAUCUGGACUUUUGCACGGGCCCAUCUAAUUUGAAUAGAUAGAUUGAUCAGAUGAUUUUUAAAAUUCAUAAUUGUGGCAGUCUGCCCAAUAUUUUUCCUAGUUACCUGAGCAUGGAGCUUCUCAGUUUCUCUAACAAUAUAUUCAACCAUUGACCCAUGACACCUUUCAUGGAAAAUGCAUCAGGGUCAUAUGUGUCAGCAUGAUAGUCAUACUGAGCCCUCAACAAAAGGCUAAAUAUUAUGCUAUCCACUUGUUGGAUUAAUGACUGCCUUAUAUUUUCUAGACUCAAGCUCUGGAUCUCAUCCACCCCACCCUUUGCAUAUCUACAUGAAAAAGAAGCAAAAUGCUAUAAGAUGGCCAAAAAACUCAUGAAAUCCAUACAUCUGAACAUAAAAAGGGUUUCUGGGAAAUUAUGAACCAAGUGUGAAAUGGGUCUAACAUAAAUUGCAAUAUUGGGUCUUGCAAUAAAAGCAUAAGCAAUACACAAUAUCUUUGCCUUCAUUGAUGAUGAAUGAGAAGAGAGAAGAGAGCAACAGUAAAAGGCAGCACAAACGUAAGAAAUGUAAAGGAGAAAAAAAGAGAUACAAAAGUUGCAUUUGUUACACAAAAGGAAGCUUAAUAAAUUGUUUCCAAAAUGGAAAAUGAGCCCUGAGCUUACAUAAAAUGCAGCAAUUUGCCACCAUUUCUAUUUCAUAUUUCCAAGAUCAAGGCUUUCCUGCAUAAACAUAUUUUUAUGUCUCAAACUAGAAAUUUCACCGGCAACUUUUUUGUGCUUUCAUGUUUAUAAGUAACCAUCAACUAAUUAGGAGACGAACAUAUUCAAGAUUUUUGUGUAUUCUUUCAAAUGAAUGACAAAUGAUACUUUGUACAUGUUUGAUAUUUAGAAAAGAUGUCCUAAUUGUCAAACAGAACAUUUGGCUAUCCUGUUGUUUCCAAUACCUCUUGAAUAUGCUUAGACAAGUACCAAACAUAUCACAAUGUCAUCAUAUUCAUAGCCAACUUGUCCUGUGCAUAAGAGAACAAUUUGUAUAUAGAUUUUAAGGAAUGAUUCAUGAGACAACUUGACCCAUAGAUGAAUGUGCAAUUAAAUUACCGUCAUUUACAACUAAAAACAUUUAAUAACUGCACAAAAAAAGGAUGAAAAAAAUUGUUGACUUAUAGAUAUAUCCUUGCCAUAUUAUAUAAUUUACAAAUUCAUAAACCACAGCUUCCUCAAAAAAUUGUCUACUGCACUGUUAGUUCCAAUUGUUUAGAUGUUUAUAUCCAUCCACUGCUAAUAACACCGCCAUGCAAUGUACAGAGGAGGGUUCUGAAAAUGAACACAUUUGAAAUCCAUUUAGCAUAUCAAGAGAAAAAUCAAUGAAGAGAAAUAAACAAUGAAGACUUUCUCUCGUUAAUAUUCAAAAUUGAAAAAGAAAAGUCACAACAAUCACAUAAUUUCAUACCAUUUACACAGGGUCAAUUAAUUUUUACCAUUCAGAAACUGACUAUAUAAUAAAUUCGGGAUGAUCAAUUGAUCAUGAACAUGGAAGAUACACAUAGAGACUAUAACAACAAAAGCAUGUUAAAACCGUAAAUGAGAGGGGCAAGAAGCUGGAAAAAGGCAAUAACAGCUGGCUCCAGAAUUCGAUUUGUGAUGAUGGUGGACCAAAUGUGAAGCAGAUUUUGAAGAAUUUGCAGUCUGGUUCCUCAAAUGGAAAAACAUUAUUCAAAAGAUCUGCCUCCAUUGAUGAUCGACACGGGCUCUGGAAGAGGGAAAGAGUUCAAGGAGCCCAGAGAAAGCAGAAGACUGACCAGAGUUUUUCCGCUCUCUGGUCGUCCGCCG